GCGGGAGUAGCUCUGUUGGUAGAGCGCAACCUUGCCAAGGUUGGGGUCGAGAGUUAGAGACUCUUCUCCCGCUCCA
rnacentral:tRNA from 1 species